rnacentral:rRNA from 1 species
CCCGCUGAACUUAAGCAUAUCAAUAAGCGGAGGAAAAGAAACUAACAAGGAUUCCCCUAGUAACGGCGAGUGAAGCGGGAUGAGCUCAAAUUUAAAAUCUGGCUGGUUUACUAGCCCGAAUUGUAGUUUAUAGAAGCGUUUUCGGUGGCAGCCUGGGUAUAAAUCCUUUGGAAUAGGGUAUCAUAGAGGGUGAGAAUCCCGUCUUUGACUCAGUGCAUGCUACUAUGUGAUACGUUUUCAAAGAGUCGAGUUGUUUGGGAAUGCAGCUCAAAAUGGGUGGUAAAUUUCAUCUAAGGCUAAAUAUUGGCGAGAGACCGAUAGCGAACAAGUACCGUGAGGGAAAGAUGAAAAGAACUUUGGAAAGAGAGUAAAACAGUACGUGAAAUUGUUGAAAGGGAAACGCUUGAAGUCAGUCGCGUCGGCCGGAACUCAGCCUUGCUUCUGCUCGGCGCACUUUCCGGCCCGACGGGCCAGCAUCGGUUUCGUGGGGCGGACACUGGUGGGGGGAAGGUGGUGGCCCCUGGCCGCGUUAUAGCCUCCCGUCGCGAACGCCCCGUGGGACCGAGGAAUCCGGCGUGAGCCUGGGAUGCUGGCGUAAUGGCUUUAAACGACCCGUCUUGAAACACGG